rnacentral:rRNA from 1 species
UACGAAGGGGGCUAGCGUUGUUCGGAAUUACUGGGCGUAAAGGGCGCGUAGGCUGUGCUGUAAGUCAGGCGUGAAAGCCCCGGGCUCAACCUGGGAAUUACGCUUGAUACUGCGGCGCUGGAAGGUGGGAGAGGAUGGCGGAAUUCCCAGUGUAGAGGUGAAAUUCGUAGAUAUUGGGAAGAACACCGGUGGCGAAGGCGGCCAUCUGGCCCAUUUUUGACGCUGAGGCGCGAAAGCGUGGGGAGCAAACAGG